rnacentral:tRNA from 2 species
GGCCCCAUCGUCUAGUGGUUAGGACAUCGGCCUCUCACGCCGGUAACACGAGUUCGAAUCUCGUUGGGGUCACCA